rnacentral:rRNA from 1 species
AACGUAGGAGGCAAGCGUUAUCCGGAGUUACUGGGCGUAAAGCGUAUGUAGGCGGUUGGGCAAGUGGCGUGUGAAAGCUCCCGGCUAAACUGGGAGACGACAGGUCAGACUGCGCGACUAGAGUCCGAUAGAGGAGCGUAGAAUUCCGGGUGUAGCGGUGAAAUGUGUAGAGAUCCGGAGGAAUACCAGUGGCGCAAGCGGCGCUCUGGGUCGGGACUGACGCUGAGAUACGAAAGCGUGGGGAGCGAACGGG